rnacentral:rRNA from 1 species
GGCGAGUGAAGCGGCAAAAGCUCAAAUUUGAAAUCUGGCUCUUUCAGAGUCCGAGUUGUAAUUUGAAGAAGGUAUCUUUGGGCCUGGCUCUUGUCUAUGUUUCUUGGAACAGAACGUCACAGAGGGUGAGAAUCCCGUGCGAUGAGAUGACCCAGGUCCGUGUAAAGUUCCUUCGACGAGUCGAGUUGUUUGGGAAUGCAGCUCUAAGUGGGUGGUAAAUUCCAUCUAAAGCUAAAUAUUGGCGAGAGACCGAUAGCGAACAAGUACAGUGAUGGAAAGAUGAAAAGAACUUUGAAAAGAGAGUGAAAAAGUACGUGAAAUUGUUGAAAGGGAAGGGCUUGAGAUCAGACUUGGCAUUUUGCAUGUUGCUUCUUCGGGGGCGGCCUCUGCGGUUUGUCGGGCCAGCAUCAGUUUGGGCGGCAGGACAAUCGCGUGGGAAUGUGGCACGGCCUCGGCUGUGUGUUAUAGCCCGCGUGGAUACUGCCAGCCUAGACUGAGGACUGC